AAGAAAGUAUGCAAGAACUGCUAACUCAUGCAACCAUGUUUAAACACAUGGCUUUCUUA
rnacentral:tRNA from 1 species